CUGUCUCUCUUUGUUGAAGGUAAUCAUCAACUUUUAAAUCAGCAUCACCUCCACCAUGAAGACGCUGAUUCUGUCUGCACUUCUUUGUGCUGUGAUCACACUGACCAGAGCUGCUGCUCUUUCAGACGCAAAGGAUGAAGGUGGGGAAGUGGCAAUAAUUCAAGAAGGAGAGCAUCAUAUCUUGGAGAGGUCAACAUCUUGUCCCCGUGGUUGGACUAAGAUCAGUGAUCGCUGUUUCCUCUUCGUUCCACGAACCAUGACUUGGGCUCAGGCUGAGAGAAACUGUCUGUCCUUAGGUGCACACCUUGCAUCCGUACGUAGAGCUGAGGAGUAUCACGGGAUUCAAAGGCUGAUAGCAGAUAAAAAUUAUGGGAAUCCACUGACAUGGCUCGGAGGCUUUGAAGAUGCAAAACUUACUGUAUGUAAGAGCGGGUCUUGGUCUUUCUCAGCAUCUACUCAGGGUGACACUGAGAAGAAGAGAAGACAAUCCUCCAGCAGAUAAUCAUCAACUUUUAAAUCAGAAUCACCUCCACCAUGACGACGCUGAUUCUGUCUGCACUUCUUUGUGCCGUGAUCGCGCUGACCAGAGCUGCUGAAUCAAAGGAUGAAGGUGGGGAAGUGGCAAUAAUUCAAGAAGAUGAAUACAUAUUUCUUCACUGUGUUUUGUAAACUUUGUCUGGAGACUCAACUUGACCCACUUCAGCAUUGAAACAAGCUGGUCUGUGAGUUUCUUUUAAAUCUGAUGUAUUUAAGGGUUUAACUUCACUGUUCAGCAGUCAGUAAACAAUCUAAAGACAGAACCUCAGUCAUUUUGUUGGACACUUUUAAAGUUGAUUUGUAUUUCACUGACAGAAGAGGGGAUAGCAUCAAUGCUGCAAACCUUUAUCAUAAAAUGUCAACUGAACAAAGGACUAAUGUCCUUCUGUUCAGAUAAAGAAACAUUUUUAAGGAUCACAACUCUGUCAUUGUAGAAAAACUAGCUAUGAGCUCACAGAAACUCCUGAGAUUUAUUGGGUCAGUCUGACAGGAAACAUCCCUUUGCAGGUGACUGUAGUGAUGUGCUGGCCUGUAUGAAGGGCACUCCAGUAUCAUUUCAAAUGUGUACUUAUGGCAACAGAUACAAACACUGCAAAAAUGAAUAAAUUUUUUAUCAAGUAUGGAGGGAAAAAAAAUUGACUUCAACUGUAACUUGUGACCUACCAAAAGCUCCUAUAUUCAGGUUCAUAAUGAACUUGAAAAAGUGCAGAAUAGUCACUCGGGUAGCGUUUUCAAAACAUCGUGAAACGUUGCAACUUGGUUAAGUUUAGGCACAAAAAGUACUUGGUUGGGUUUAGGCAGCACAACUACUUGGUUAAGGUUAGGAAAAGUUCAUGAUUUGGGUUGACUUAAUGUAUGUCAGUUAACAUGUAAGUUAACUAACGUCAAUUUAUGUAACUUGCCACCUUAAAUAAAAAUAUUUAAUGUUGA